GCCAGUGUAGCAUAGUGGUUUAAAUGUCAGACUAUGACUCUGGAGACCAGGUUCAAUUCUCAGCUCAACCA